rnacentral:ncRNA from 1 species
UAUGCCCUGGGCGACACACGUGCUACAAUGGGCGGGACAAAGGGUCGCGAUCUCGCGAGGGUGAGCUAACUCCAAAAACCCGUCCUCAGUUCGGAUUGCAGGCUGCAACUCGCCUGCAUGAAGCAGGAAUCGCUAGUAAUCGCCGGUCAGCCAUACGGCGGUGAAUCCGUUCCCGGGCCUUGUACACACCGCCCGUCACACUAUAGGAGCUGGCCAUGUUUGAAGUCAUUACCCUUAACCGUAAGGAGGGGGAUGCCUAAGGCUAGGCUUGCGACUGG